AUGGAACUAGCACACAAGCUUCUUCGCACCACCAAAAAAUUCAAUUACCAACACAUUUUCAGCAAAAGCACAUCCCAUCAGAAGAAAUAAAACAUCAUGAUCACUCCUACGAGCCUAGUUCAAUAGGCAAAGAAGUGGCAGCAGAUGGCAGCCGUCGGGAAGCGGAGGCCAGCGACGAUGGGGGCAAUCCACGACCCUAACCUGCGGGGCUCAUCGGCCAUCGCAGGCAAGGGCCACUGCAUCGUCUACACAAACGGUGGAGAGCGGUUCGAGGACCCACUGGCCUACCCCGGUACCACGGUGUUCGGAGAACUCCUGAGGAUGUCCGAGGACGAGUUCAGGUUCACGAGUGAAGACAUGAUCACGGUACCUUGCGAUGCGGGGGUAAUGGCGUAUGUGAUAUGCUUGCUCAGGAGAAAGCCAUCCGAAGAAGUGGAGAGGGCGGUCCUCAAUUCUACAGUAAUACCAUGCAGCAACCAGAGUAGCGUUCCCAUGGUUAACAAGAGUCUAGGCCAGUCACUGGCUAUUUUUAGCUAG
rnacentral:rRNA from 1 species